AGCGAACGCUGGCGGCAGGCCUAACACAUGCAAGUCGAACGCAUCCUUCGGGGUGAGUGGCAGACGGGUGAGUAACACGUGGGAACGUACCUCUUUGUACGGAAUAGCUUUUGGAAACGAAAGGUAAUACCGUAUACGCCCUUGUGGGGGAAAGAUUUAUCGCAGAGAGAUCGGCCCGAGUCUGAUUAGGUAGUUGGUAAGGUAAUGGCUCACCAAGGGGACGAUCAGUAGCUGGUCUGAGAGGAUGAUCAGCCACACCGGGACUGAGACACGGCCCAGACUCCUACGGGAGGCAGCAGUGGGGAAUAUUGGACAAUGGGGGCAACCCUGAUCCAGCCAUGCCGCGUGAGUGAUGAAGGCCUUAGGGUUGUAAAGCUCUUUUGUACGGGAAGAGAAUGACUUUACCGGAAGAAUAAGCCCCGGCUAACUUCGUGCCAGCCGCCGCCGUAA
rnacentral:rRNA from 1 species